rnacentral:rRNA from 1 species
AAGUCGUAACAAGGUUUCCGUAGGUGAACCUGCGGAAGGAUCAUUACAGUAGUCACCCAGGUUGCCGCAAGGCCUCCUGGGUAACCUACCACCCUUUGUUUAUUACACUUUGUUGCUUUGGCAAGCCUGCCCUCGGGCUGCUGGCUCCGGCCGGCGAGCGCUUGCCAGAGGACCUAAACUCUGUUUGUCUAUACUGUCUGAGUACUAUAUAAUAGUUAAAACUUUCAACAACGGAUCUCUUGGUUCUGGCAUCGAUGAAGAACGCAGCGAAAUGCGAUAAGUAAUGUGAAUUGCAGAAUUCAGUGAAUCAUCGAAUCUUUGAACGCACAUUGCGCCCCCUGGUAUUCCGGGGGGCAUGCCUGUCCGAGCGUCAUUACAACCCUCAAGCUCAGCUUGGUAUUGGGCCCCGCCGACCCGGCGGGCCCUAAAGUCAGUGGCGGUGCCGUCCGGCUCCGAGCGUAGUAAUUCUUCUCGCUCUGGAGGCCCGGUCGUGUGCUCGCCAGCAACCCCCAAUUUUUUUCAGGUUGACCUCGGAUCAGGUAGGGAUACCCGCUGAACUUAA